rnacentral:rRNA from 1 species
AGCGAACGCUGGCGGCAGGCCUAACACAUGCAAGUCGAACGGAUCCUUCGGGAUUAGUGGCGGACGGGUGAGUAACACGUGGGAACGUGCCUUUUGGUUCGGAACAACUCAGGGAAACUUGAGCUAAUACCGGAUAAGCCCUUCGAGGGAAAGAUUUAUCGCCAUUAGAGCGGCCCGCGUAGGAUUAGCUAGUUGGUGGG